rnacentral:rRNA from 1 species
GAUGAACGCUGGCGGCGUGCCUAAUACAUGCAAGUCGAGCGAACAGACGAGGAGCUUGCUCCUCUGACGUUAGCGGCGGACGGGUGAGUAACACGUGGAUAACCUACCUAUAAGACUGGGAUAACUUCGGGAAACCGGAGCUAAUACCGGAUAAUAUAUUGAACCGCAUGGUUCAAUAGUGAAAGACGGUUUUGCUGUCACUUAUAGAUGGAUCCGCGCCGCAUUAGCUAGUUGGUAAGGUAACGGCUUACCAAGGCAACGAUGCGUAGCCGACCUGAGAGGGGGCCCGGCCACUCUGGAACUGAGACACGGUCCAGCCCCCUAGGGGAGGCAGGAGGAGGGAAUUUUCCGAAAGGGGCGAAAGCCUGACGGAGCAACGCCGGGGGAGUGAGGAAGGGCUUCGGAUCGUAAAACUCUGUUAUUAGGGAAGAAAAAAUGGGAAAGUAACUAUGCACGUCUUGACGGUACCUAAUCAGAAAGCCACGGCUAACUACGU